rnacentral:rRNA from 1 species
AUUGAACGCUGGCGGCAUGCCUUACACAUGCAAGUCGAACGGUAACGGGCCUUCGGGUGCCGACGAGUGGCGCACGGGUGCGUAAUACAUCGGAACGUGCCCGAUCGUGGGGGGUAACGAGGCGAAAGCUUUGCUAAUACCGCAUACGAUCUACGGAGGAAAGCAGGGGACCGCAAGGCCUUGCGCGGACUGAGCGGCCGAUGGCAGAUUAGGUAGUUGGUGGGAUAAAAGCGUACCAAGCCGACGAUCUGUAGCUGGUCUGAGAGGAUGAUCAGCCACACUGGGACUGAGACACGGCCCAGACUCCUACGGGAGGCAGCAGUGGGGAAUUUUGGACAAUGGGCGCAAGCCUGAUCCAGCCAUGCCGCGUGCAGGAUGAAGGCCUUCGGGUUGUAAACUGCUUUUGUACGGAACGAAAAGCCUUCUUUUAAUACAGGAGGGUCAUGACGGUACCGUAAGAAUAAGCACCGGCUAACUACGUG